AAAGCGUGCGCAGGCGGUUGUGCAAGUCUGAUGUGAAAGCCCCGGGCUUAACCUGGGAACGGCAUUGGAGACUGCACGACUAGAGUGCGUCAGAGGGGGGUAGAAUUCCACGUGUAGCAGUGAAAUGCGUAGAGAUGUGGAGGAAUACCGAUGGCGAAGGCAGCCCCCUGGGAUGACACUGACGCUCAUGCACGAAAGCGUGGGGAGCAAACAGGAUUAGAUACCCUGGU
rnacentral:rRNA from 1 species